ACCCAGCUCAUUUUAUCUUUUUUUUAUUCAGUCCAAGACCACAGCCUAGGGUACUGCUGCCAACACUGCAAGGGAGUCUUCGCUAUUCAUUGUACUGUUCUAGAAACACCCUCAGGUAUACCCAGAGGUGUGUUCUCAUCUAAAUCUUACCAAGUAAACAAUAAAAAUUAACCAUCACAGUCAUCGCUGUGGACAACAGGGAGAGCCACCAGUUGGACAUCGUGCCAAGAUUCUUCGGUUCGUUUGCACAAAUUAUGGUCAUUUUGCACUGGUCAAGGGUUACUGCAGGAAACGAACCCCCUGAGUAUUGCCUCAUAUGGCUCCCUCUGUCCAAACCUUCAACUCGAUUACCCGUCACCCUGAUUCUCUCUGGACACCAUGUCAACACGAGGUUCUGUCCACCGGUAAAAGCUGACCCACCUUCGCCCUUACUAACAGCACAGUUUACCCAGCUUCUCUUCAGAUUCCUCUGUGAAUGUCCAGAUGUAUGUCUUCCAGCUCUUCUUCAUGGGACUCAACUCUCUCCGUUGAUAAAUUGUAAUGAUUCGGAGUUGGAGGUGUCUCAGAUCAGAUGCCCCAAGGCACGGCACCAGCCCUUAACUCUGCCAGAAGUACUGAAGACACAGAAGUGCUAGAACACGUUUAUAAAUGGAGCCAGGCAUGGCGACACAUUUCAGAAUCCUACGUACGCAGGAGUGAAGGUCAAAACCCGGUCAUAAGACGAUGACGACACGGGACUGCUCCGGCUGGCGCCUGGCCUGCGUUCAUGGAAUACGCGUUUAGGAAAAUCUGGGAAAUACUGGAGAUCAAAGCUACCUUCUAAAAAACAGCACUGGGAGGAUGCCUGAAGAUCGGAGAAAAAGGCUGAUUGAGGUUGAAGUAUGUCUCAGCAGUAGACUCGGCUUGAUUGGCAUCUAGGACGCCCUCAGUUGUGUCCCGCACACCAUAGGAAAAAUAGAAGUGACACCCAGAUGCUGCUGCGUCCCUCUGGGCUACUACACUGUGACAGCCAUUCAACAAGCCUCUUCUGCCUGUCCUUCUCUCCUGAAUCCAGCCACUCCAGCCCCGGGGAGCAUUUUCAAAUCCUCCCAGGUCUCUGUGAAAGAUUCAACUUUACGAGACCGUGACUGAACUGGGCAGGAAGGAAGCUGGUGUCUCUGUCCCAGAAUAGGACCGUAUUGCUGGUGACCCUUUGACCUCCCCUCAAGGCAUCCCCAUGGCUGACCACCGAAAAUAGACUCCUUCCUCUCUGAUUCGCUCUCCCCUCCUCCCUCGGGAAAGAAGACACAAGCGUCCAAGGAGCCAGCAACAUCAUCAGGACUUGACUGUCUCAGGAAUUACCAGAUGUGGGGGAAAGGAUAACAUGUCAUUUCCUUUAGCAAAUAGUCUGAGUAUGUGUGCUUUUCCUCUUGAUCCGGCUCCCUCCGACGCUCUGAUGCAGUGAGAGUUAGGGACAAAUCCCCCUGGCUUCUUCCUACUCUCAAGGAUCCUGGCAGCCUCCUCUGAAACCCUUGAAGCUCAGCCCCUCGUUAAGGAUUUUAUUUCUAUUAUUUUAUUGUAUUUAUUUGAUUUGGGGUGCUGGGAAUGGAACCUGGGGUCUUUAAAAAUAGCUACACAUGCAGUAUUGAGUUAUAUGCCCAACCCUAAGAAAACGCCUUGCCUUUUGUAUAUAUGAACAAGGAUCAGAAUGAGCUUUGACUCAGUGGAAAAUUUGGGAGUCAAGUUAAAUACAAGAGAAUGAACGGGAAGGAAGCGAUGUUGGAGGAGGGUUUCUGGUGAUCAAACUGCUCACCCUUUCCUCUGCACCACGGUCCUCCAUGAUGACCAACAUGGUGAUGUUUCUUGGAAUCUUGCCUCACCAACCCAAUCUUCUACCAGGAAGAGGCCCACCGAUCUCAUGACAAGCUUUAUGUAAGUUUGGAAACCUCUGGUCCACACAGAUAAAGCUGAAGAGUUGCCAUGGUCCCAAAACACCAAGAGCUGAUGUGAGAUGGUCAUCUGAAGGGGAAACAUGUAUCUGGUACAUUGCAGAGGUGAGAGGAAGGUAUACUGGUUAGAUAUUUGUCAACUUGACCAAAGUCUAGUCAUCUGAGGGCAGGAGACCUCAAUUGAGAAAAUGCCUCCUAUGAUCGACCUGUAGGCAAGCCUGAAGAGCAUUUUCCUUAUUUGUGAUGAACAGGGAGGGUCCAGCCUGUUGUGGGUGGUGCCAUCCCUGUGCUGGUGGCUCUGGGUUCUAUAAGAAAGCAGGCUGAGCAAGCCAUGGGAAGCAAGUCAGUAAGCAGUAUGUCCUCCGUGGUCAAGAGGAGCAUCAGCUCCUGACUCCAGGUUCCUUCUCUGUCUGACUUGCUGUCCUGGCGUCCUUCUGUGGUGGCUUAUGGUAUGGACAUGUAAGCCCAAUAAACCCUUUCUUCUUGGGUUGAUUUUUGGUCACUGUGUU